rnacentral:rRNA from 1 species
AGGAAAAGAAACUAACAAGGAUUCCCCUAGUAACUGCGAGUGAAGCGGGAAAAGCUCAAAUUUAAAAUCUGGCGGUCUUUGGCCGUCCGAGUUGUAAUCUAGAGAAGUAAUGCCCGUGCUGGACCGUGUAUAAGUCUCCUGGGAUGGGGCGUCAUAGAGGGUGAGAAUCCCGUCUUUGACACGGACUACCAGUGCAUUGUGGUAUGCUCUCAAAGAGUCGAGUUGUUUGGGAAUGCAGCUCAAAAUGGGUGGUAAAUUCCAUCUAAAGCUAAAUAUUGGCGAGAGACCGAUAGCGAACAAGUACCGUGAGGGAAAGAUGAAAAGAACUUUGGAAAGAGAGUUAAACAGUACGUGAAAUUGCUGAAAGGGAAACGCUUGAANUCAGUCNCGUUGGCCAGGGAUCAGCCUUGCUUUUGCAUGGUGUUCUUUCUGGUUGACNNGGGUCACCAUCAAUUUUGACCGCUGGAAAAAGGCAUGGGGAAUGUUGCAGCUUCGGCUGUGUUAUAGCCCUUGGUCGCAUACAGUGGUUGGUAUUGAGGAANUNAGCACGCGGCAAGGCCGGGUUUNGANCACGUUCNUGCUUAGGAUGCUGGCAUAAUGGCUNUAAGCGACCNGUNUUGANACACGGACCNAGGAGUNUAAAAUGCCUGCGAGU